AACCAUGAGAAAAAAACCUACGAAAAAAGCCUACAAAAAAAAAUCGACGACUCGCACCACAAGCGAGCGAGGGGUUCAGAGUGCCCUCGAUUCCCAUCCAGGAUCCCUUCGCUGCCGCCCUCGCUCGCACAUCAAGCGCCCUUGAUCCUGCGCCGCCGAACCUUCACCGUCAGCGAUCCCUUCGGGACUCCUCCGCCAGCCAUGCCUUACCCUCCUCUGUGUGCUGGUGGUGGUGAUGCAGCGCGUCAUCGAUCGCGAGAUCGGCAAGCCCAAGUACCGCUGCGCUUGGGUCUGUGUCGACACGGCCGCGGACGGCGGUUGCAGGACGACCGAGUGUGGCCUCCAGUACUCAACGCAAGAUCAGAUCGGCACCUGCCCGAUCCCCAUCCGAGUCCAGGGCAGGCCGUGCCGUCCGCGGUGACCGGCCAUGCUUCAGCCUUCAGGUGCUCCGGCCUGAAUCUAGGGCCGUCAGGACCGCCUCCCAGCCGUUCGACGGUUUGCCUGACUCGGCUUCCAGCAUGUAUGUAUGAUCGGUCUUACCCCGCUGCCUUCCUCUUCACCAGAGCCAAGUAUGUAUGAUCUAUCAUUGUACAUUAGCUAGCUAGGAGAUGUCAUGUUCGUGCUUUUUGUCAUCUUCCUGAACACGCAUCUGAAUGUUUGUGCAUUGGAAUGGCGGGUCUUUCGGAUCAACUGUUCCAUGCUACGACCUCAGUUUUUAAUUUGACUGACUAUCUACAAUUCUACACAUGCUCUUCAAGAUUGUUCCUGUGAGUUUCUUUAAAACCUAUUUGCACACCUAGCUAGAUCAUACAGCUGUUAACGUAUGGAGUUUUUUUUGAGAUCUGUUUAUCUCAGGGCUCUGACACGCCGGUUCCAUUUAAACAGUUUUUAGAGCUAGCAUUUUUCUGUUUUUUAUAUGGAUGAUAUGCAAAAGUAUUUAACACUGCAUUUUUUACCCAUAACUUGGUUGUGUUAAUUAAUAGUACAAACUACAUUGGACUUGUAUGUGGAUUUGAUUUGGACUUUCUGUACAUAGUCGGCUAAACGGUAUUACUUCUAAUCAUCAGUAACUUGUAUGUGGAUUUGAUUUGGACUUUCUGUACAUAAUUUUUUAAUAAAAAACACAUAUUAACUUAGUUAUCUAAACUAAUUCCUUUUCAUUUAUAUAACCUUACGACUUUGAUACACAGUUCUUGUGGCACCAGCGGCCAACUGGGAUAACAAACAAACCAGUGCAUGACAAUCUGAAGAGCCAGCAGGGGAAGUGAGUCACCUAUGAGAUAUGCACAACAGCACAACCCUCAGGCAGAAAACUAUCCCCCCAUUGGUGGUUAGCUGAUCUCAGUAUCUUAUGUAUUGCAUGAAACUUAUAGGGAAGCUCAUGUGAAAUAUGACUUUAGACAGCCUGUGUACAUGGUCAGCAAGCCACCUAUGGGACCACUGUUUUCCUGUAAUAUAUUUUCUUUGUAUUAAUAUGAACUGCAGAUCUCUUUUUUUGUUGAUAUCUUCGCUGGCGUAAUGCAUCUGAUCGGUAAGCAUUAGGAUUCAUUCAUUGUCUUUCUUUUGCUGGUUUUAGCGAAGGUGUAUUCAUGUGAGCCGAUCGAAUUCCUUCCUUUUCUUGCCUUCAACUACCUGAUGCAUGUUGCUUAUGGUUUUUUAGUCAUCAAUUUACCUUUCCGUGCAAAAACAUAUGUACCUUUGCCAUUUCUUUUGCAGAUACUGGUGAUGAGCUCAACAGCAGCAUCAUUGUUGGUAAAUACCAUCAGCACUUACAGUCUACUCCACCUACAAAGAGCUAUGGCAAGGUGCACACUUUAGUGAUGAGCUGGGAAGAGAAUGAAGUUUGUUUUUUAUCUUGUCUGGUCGUAGAUCGAGUGACAUGAAGGAUGCUGGCUGUUGGUGCUCGUUCAUCAGGAUCAUCUGAAUAAUGUUUUUCCAACACAUUCUGAUGUCUUCUCAAUUGUGCACCGGGCUCUUCUUUUAGCCAAGGACUUCUGAUAAAUAAUAAUCUAGGCAAUAAUUGAAUCCCAAGGACCCAUUGAAUUUAGAAAUGGACUCUUAUGAUGUCGGACCCCAGAAAUUCCAAUAAGCAGAGACGAUGUUUUAUUUUCUUUGUCGGUGACACAACCAAAGGGAACAUAUGAUAUUGCUACAUGCAAACUAAAAGAUAUAGCAGGAAAUGGCAAACCAGAAGGAUGAGUUAGAUGAAAAGUUUCUAGCUGAUUACCGAGGUACUACUCAACCAUAAAUCUGUAGGAAUUGCUGUUGUUUUGCGAGCAGAGAGUGGAUACUUAUAAGGAGGAAGUUGAAGCGAUGCCAACGCUUGCAAAGGAAGUGACUUUAGCUGCAACUAGGUGUGACUGGGUGCUCUGUCCUUGCCUUUAUGUGUUGUCUCCUUUGUGCAACAUCCUAGCUAAGAUUUAUUAUAUUCUCACUCGCUGAUUAAGCAACUCUUGGAAACUAAGAUGCCAACAAUCCUAAGAAGAGCAAGAUGUUGACUAAUGCACCCUCUGUCGCUGCUCCUGCCAAAGCUUGCUUCUCUUUUGGUAGCAAGAGAAGUCUCAAGGUCGAAUUUUGGGGCCGGGAAGCACUAGGUUCUCUGGUGGCCUACCACUAAGUAUCAAAGGCAUUUUCAUAUGGUUUUUUCCCGUCAGUAAGAUGGCAAUUACAUUUACCAACCGAAAGGUAUGGUGCUUUCUUAAUUGAUGUAAAUGAAGGUAGCUCAAGAAUAUCUCAAUUCGCAUCAUGCAUUAGUACUCCAUAGUGUGUAUAUGUGUACUUGUAUUUAGAAUUUAGUUGGUACUCCCUCCCUCCGUCUUAUAUUGUGGGACGAAGUAGUAUUUAUUUAGAACAUGUUAUACAAAAAAGAGUGGCGUUAGAUGGUGUACUAUUUAUUUUGGUUGUCCCAAACAAACUCUGCGCUAUAUCAUUCUUUCUGCUACUCAGAGCCUCUUUGAUUCAAAGAAUUUUUCAUAGGUUUUUUACAUGAUUUUUUCCUAAGGAAACAUUUCUACUACAAUUAGGACAACAUUGGUCUUCAUCUUGUUGGACACCCCUGUUUGGCGUCUGUUUGAUGUCCAUCCGGACAUACGAGCAAGAAAUGAGUUUCGACCUUAAAGAUGAUCUUAAUCAUUUGUUCGAUUCAUAUUUAUGUAUUAUAGCCCGUAGCAACGCACGGGCGUUCUACUAUAUGGGAUAGCGCAUCACAGAGCCAGGUACAUCUGCUUCAUUUUACAUGACUCGACUUACUUGCUUUACAAAAAUAUUGCAGCAGAAAUAUUUUCCUUUGACUAUGGCUUCAUAGAUCUCUCUGAAUCUUAGGUUUCAUGUUACUCACCACUGUUUUUAUCAAUGGUGUAACAUAGGUUUGAAGAUUAUUUCUCCAACGAUGUGGAGCCGCUGACGCUUACUCUCCCUGAAGACUCAGUGGCCAGCUCAGUUUGUCAGGUUCUCUGAAAAGGCAUUCAAGAAGGGAUGAAGCAAUCUUCUACUUAAUUUGGGAGCUCUUCCUUGUCAUUGCUAAUGAUACUAUGAUACUCUGAUUCCAUGAGUCCAUGAAACAAGCAAUAAUCUAUCUCAAAAAUGCGUGUCCAAGCAUAUAACAGUACUACAACUUACGAGUUCUGACUAUGGAUAUGUAGCACGUUGACAAGACGAGAAUAAUGCCUCUAAGGCAUUUGUCCCAGCUAUGCUGCUUCCCAUCAAACUCGAGCUUAGCGCUCCGUCUGCACUCGAGCACAGCUGUCGGCCAUCAGCUCGCUCGAGCAAACACCCUGGCCGUCCGCGCACGAUCUCCUCCCAGCCUUCUGGCAUGUUAUUUUUUGCAUGCAAGGCUAAGCUAUCUCCACCGGCUCCUUUUUCUGUUCGAGCUCCUCCCUACCCUGGCAAAUCCAAAUGCUACCAUCUCCUUUCCUUGGCAUGCUAAAACUUAUGUCAGUUCAUUGUCAUGGAUAGAUUAGUGAGAAUGGGAUUGGGAUCUUUACACUACAGAGGACGAGGAGCUAUAUGGGCUACGACAUGUUGCUUGAGGUGUGGUUCUGGGACCUGCUGUUGUUCAAAUUACAGUUCCCUUAUUUAGAACUAGGCAUUCCCACUGAUACUGACCAGACUUGGAGCAUUUCCAGCAGUGGCAGUAGACACAUGUGGCACCACUUCUUGGUAGAUUUUGUCCAUUUACUUUUUGUAUCCUUUGAAUUAGAAUAUUCUGUGCAAGAUUUGAGUUUGAAUCUGGUCAAUAUUCUGUGCAAGUCAAAUUAGGUCUGAGUUUUCUUGAAGUUC